rnacentral:rRNA from 1 species
AUUGAACGCUGGCGGCAUGCUUUACACAUGCAAGUCGAACGGCAGCGCGGGCUUCGCCCUGUCGGCGAGUGGCGAACGGGUGAGUAAUGCAUCGGAACGUGCCCAGUAGCUUGGGAUAGCGCGGCGAAAGCCGGAUUAAUACCGCAAACGACCUGAGGGUGAAAGCGGGGGACCGAAAGAUCUUGCGCUAUUGGACGAGCCGAUGUCGGAUUAGCUAGUUGGUGGGGUAAAGGCUUACCAAGGCGACGAUCCGUAGCUGGUCUGAGAGGACGACCAGCCACACUGGGACUGAGACACGGCCCAGACUCCUACGGGAGGCAGCAGUGGGGAAUUUUGGACAAUGGGGGCAACCCUGAUCCAGCCAUGCCGCGUGCGGGAAGAAGGCCUUCGGGUUGUAAACCGCUUUUGUUCGGGAAGAAAUCCUCUGGGCUAAUACCCCGGGGGGAUGACGGUACCGAAAGAAUAAGCACCGGCUAACUACGUG